GGAGCGCGGGCCUCCGGCCCGCUCAUCUUCAUGCUCCUCUCCCCCUAGCGGGGGAGAGGAACAUGACGAAGAGCAUGAGCGGGCCGGAGGCCCGCGCUC
rnacentral:miRNA from 1 species